rnacentral:hammerhead_ribozyme from 1 species
AAGCGAAACCGCCCGGCAAGGGCGGUCAUGGCGGCGCGGCGGCCGCCAUCUGAUGAGCGGCCAAAA